GACGGGGGGUCCUAGCGUUGUUCGGAAUCAUUGGGCGUAAAGCGUGUGCAGGUGGUUUGGAAAGUUAGAUGUGAAGUCCUUGGGCUUAACCCAAGAAGUGCAUUUAAAACUCCCAAACUUGAGUAAGGAAGAGGGUCGUGGAAUUCCAGGUGUAGUGGUGAAAUACGUAGAUAUCUGGAGGAACACCGGCGGCGAAGGCGGCGACCUGGUCCUAUACUGACACUCAUACACGAAAGCGUGGGGAUCAAACAGG
rnacentral:rRNA from 1 species